GCCAGAGCUUCCGAGCCACUGUUGCGUAUGAGUGUGUGUGUAUGUGCAUGCACGCCCCUGUGAAGGCACAGACGAGAGGUCUGUCUGGGACCAGGGUGGUGAGCCAGCCCAUUCAGACGGGCGGAUAGGGUCGGGGGCACACGUUGAACAGGGGCAGAGAGACAAAGAGAGAGACACACACACACACAUCCAUACAAAGGGGGUCUCCACAGUCUAUGAAGCCGGCUGGGAGCCACUGUUUGUUGGGGCUACGCCUGUCCGUAGAGUCGCCCUGCACAGAUUGAUGAAGCAGUGAGAGGACGUGGCCUGCUGACCCCCGAGAGACCCAUCCUUGGCAGGCAUGAUAAUCAGGCUGAGCAGGCUGACCCCGGGGUACUCCCGCCUGCUCCAGAGGCAGGUCUCCGGGGAGGUCCAGGUGCAGCAUCAGACCAGCUUCGUCAACCCCAUUGCCAUGACGAUGGCCGCCCUGGGCCUGGGGGUGUCUCUGUACAGUACCAAGCGGCUGGCCGAGAGAGUCCAACUGAAACAGACGGCGAACUGACGCCGCACCUAAAUGUAGACACGCACCUAAGUGUCGAAGUCACGAUGGAUUAGGCUGCUUUCACUAAACUAAUUGUAGGGCCCCUGUCACUUAGCUGCUAAGUGCCAUGUUGUUUUUGUAUGAAGUUUGUUGUUUUGUGAGUCUUGAAGAAGGUUUGAAAGGUUUGUGUGGAAGAUGAAUAUAGUUCUGUAGAGAACUGGUUGGAGAAGUAAAGGUUUGUCCCUUGUACUGUGAUGUGAACAAAGAUUAAGAAAGUGUGGAAAUUCGAAAAAUACAUGGUCACCAUCAUACUAUAUGAAGCAGAUUUCUUAGGGAAUAGUUCAGUAAUAAGGAUAUAGAGAAUAUUUUGUCACCACCUUCUGUAAAGAAGUGUCACAUUAAUAAAUCUGAUGGACCACACAGAAAGUUCUUGAAAGUGAAUAUCUUCUGUCCUGCUAACUAAAUAUUUCCCCGUAUAUCUUUGUGAUUCAUUAUGUUUCCAUCUAUUUCUGUUUGUGUCAGCUAACCUCAAAGAUGUCCCUUAAACUGAUUUUAAUCUCUGGACCUAAUCUAGUCUGCUAGUCUGACUCUGUUGUAUGUAACAUUUGUAAACUUCUUCAAUCCCUUCGAUAUUAAAUAUCAUCCGGUUAAUCAAAUUAGUUAUGACGCAAACACUUCUAUUACUUAUUUGUAAUUCAUUUCCAUGAAUGGCUUGAAAUUAAACAAAACCAUUGAAAAACAAAA